UGUCAUUGUUUUCACACCACAUCAAUUCAUAGUCGAUUAAAAUAAUAUUUGUUAAAAAUUCUUGAUGUAGCAAUACAUUGUUCGUUUUAGAAAAUGAAGCAACCAUUUAUUGUUAUUUAAUAAAACUAAUAUACUUACCACAGGAACUCACGAAUUCUAUUUCGUUCAUCGCUCGGACUUUUCUGCUGGUGGGAAAAGGCUUAUACCACUUCUCAAACAAAAAUGAGCCUACGUGGUAUAUAGGAAACUUUGCAUAUAUUCAACCUUGCGCCUACCACAAAUCAUACAACAAAACCAAGUAGAGCUGAUAUGCUCAUUCGGAGUCACGAUGAGAAUGCUGGUAGACAAUAAAUAAGUGAUGUCAUGACAGAAAAAAUCAUGCAGAAAGUAUAGGCGCAUCUUAGAACUACAAUGCGAACGUGAUCGAAAUUGAGUUGGUCCCGGUUUUGACAGAUUAAAGGCAGAGUACGAUCGGAGGAUAAUGCACACAUUAUUUACCAUCGGAGGAGAGAUAUAUCUCCCUCUCUUAAGCGGCAGGGGCAAUUUUUUAAAAAAUAACUUAAAAUCUAAACAAUAAAUUAUACCUUUUUCAAAAGCCAAAUAAAGUUUCAAACAAUGAAAACUA